UUAUUGUUUCACCUAUAUAUGUACUUAAGCGUGUUUUCCACCACAGGCCAAUUCCUCGUGGCAUUUCGAUGUGGUGCUGAGUUAACAAAAGGGUGGGGAAUCGGCAGUCUUCCAAGACAACACAUCCAAAGCUGGGAGCUGAAAUCCAAAAACAUCUGGAGAACUUUUUUGCAAAAGGAAUGCACCCCCAUUGUAUUCACAGGACAAGUUUUUUUAAAAGAGCGGUUAGCAAGUACAGGCAUGGAAAGGUUGACAACUCUUAACACUUCUGCCACAUUUUUUUCUCACCUGUAAACAUGGACCUUGUGCAAAAGACUAUUUAUUUCAAAACUGACAAUUAUUUCUGAUCACUUCAACUUUGAAAACAAAAAAAGGUCUCCCCUGGAUCUAAAACAACUAGAAGGUACAAGGAGUCUUUCAAAGUAAAACCAGGCAUGUGAACCUUCACACCAGGUUUCUAGGUGGAACAUACAAAGCACCCAGAUGUCUGGAAGCUGACCAUCUCUGUUUUUCCCUAAUCAAUAAACAGCAAACUGCAGCUAUAGCUCAGGUCCAAAGAACAAGCUACAUUUUAGAGAGGCAAUGAAAGAUUACAGUUUUAUUUCUGAAAGAAGUUGCAAGAAUAACUACUUUCAGAAGUGAGAAAAAGUAUAAUAUAUAAAUUACCAAUAUGUUCUCUGAUCUUCCACCAGAAGCAUUAUUGCAACUGGGCUUACCUACAAGUAAGAAGCAGAUAUUGGCUGCAUAGGUGUGACAGUUUCUCAAGUCGCUCCUGAUAUGAAAAAAGGUGUGUUAAUACAGUAUGGGACUUUGUAGGUGUGGCUUCCCUAGCUUUAGGGAAGGGAAAAUACAAAUAAGUAGUCCCUCUCCAUCUUUUAAUACCAAAAAUUCACGAAUACAAAAAAGAGCAAAGUUGGUGGAUUCUGAGAUUUCUAGUACAUUUUCCAAACUUUCAUAAUGGGAGAGUGAUUUGGUCACCCAUUUAAUAGAUUAGAG
rnacentral:lncRNA from 11 species